UGGCGGCGUGCCUAUACAUGCAGUCGAGCGGACUUGAUGAGGAGCUUGCUCCUCUGAUGGUUAGCGGCGGACGGGUGAGUAACACGUAGGCAACCUGCCUGCAAGACCGGGAUAACUAGCGGAAACGUUAGCUAAUACCGGAUAAUUUAUCGCUUUGCAUGAAGCGGUAAUGAAAGACGGAGCAAUCUGUCACUUGCAGAUGGGCCUGCGGCGCAUUAGCUAGUUGGUGAGGUAACGGCUCACCAAGGCGACGAUGCGUAGCCGACCUGAGAGGGUGAACGGCCACACUGGGACUGAGACACGGCCCAGACUCCUACGGGAGGCAGCAGUAGGGAAUCUUCCGCAAUGGGCGAAAGCCUGACGGAGCAACGCCGCGUGAGUGAUGAAGGUUUUCGGAUCGUAAAGCUCUGUUGCCAGGGAAGAACGACCGUUAGAGUAACUGCUAACGGAGUGACGGUACCUGAGAAGAAAGCCCCGGCUAACUACGUGCCAGCAGCCGCGGUAAUACGUAGGGGGCAAGCGUUGUCCGGAAUUAUUGGGCGUAAAGCGCGCGCAGGCGGUCGCUUAAGUCUGGUGUUUAAGGCCAAGGCUCAACCUUGGUUCGCACUGGAAACUGGGUGACUUGAGUGCAGAAGAGGAGAGUGGAAUUCCACGUGUAGCGGUGAAAUGCGUAGAGAUGUGGACGAACACCAGUGGCGAAGGCGACUCUCUGGGCUGUAACUGACGCUGAGGCGCGAAAGCGUGGGGAGCAAACA
rnacentral:rRNA from 1 species